UGAGGUUAAUGGUUCUGACAGACACAAUUUCCUAUUACAUUAUUUCUUCCAUCUUUUUGACAAAGAGAAUGAAACCGCGGAAUACUCGACGACAUAGAAAUGAAGUUUCCAGAAUGAAUCUUUCAUAAAGUCAAUAAAAAUCGAAGAAAGUUAAUCAAUUUUAAUUAAAAAGGAGAAGAAAAAUGUAGAAUUGUAAAUUAAUUAAAAACAUGAAAAUGUGUUUACAAAAAAUUUGCAAACAAAAUUUUUUUUAUAUUUAAAUUAAGAAGCUGAUAUACAGAGAAUUUUGAGAAAUCGAAAAAAAAAAUUGAGGAAUAUAUUCUGAAAAGCGCGGAUCAAAAGAUUUAAUGAUAAAUCGAUUCUCGUCUCAAUUUCACCUUAAACUUUUGUUUGAAUAAUCCAAAGGCUGAAAAGACGUGUGAAUUCUGAUCCCAGAGGGCAAUUCAGCAAGUUGAAUAGAAAAACUUUUCACAUAACACAAAUAUUAGUCAAAGUCAAAUUUUUUGUGACAAAAAAUUUUGUGAGAUUAAAAUGACAAACAGUAGCUUUGCUUUUUCCAUUGCCAAAGUACAUACUCGUUUUUAUUAAAGAGGAAUAUUUUCACAAGAGGUUUUGUAACAACUUUUCCCUCAAAUUCAGGACAAAAAAUUUCCAACUUUUUUUUUAUGAAGAUACUUCACUAUCUACAGCAUAUUUUUAUAACUAAUUAUGACAAACUUUAAA